rnacentral:misc_RNA from 1 species
GAUGAAGAACGUAGCGAAAUGCGAUAAGUAAUGUGAAUUGCAGAAUUCAGUGAAUCAUCGAAUCUUUGAACGCACAUUGCGCCCGCCAGUAUUCUGGCGGGCAUGCCUGUUCGAGCGUCAUUACAACCCUCAGGCCCCCGGGCCUGGCGUUGGGGAUCGGCGGAGCCCCCCGUGGGCACACGCCGUCCCCCAAAUGCAGUGGCGGUCCCGCCGCAGCUUCCAGCGCGUAGUAGCUAACACCUCGCGACUGGAGAGCGGCGCGGCCACGCCGUAAAACACCCAACUCUUCUGAAGUUGACCUCGAAUCAGGUAGGAAUACCCGCUGAACUUAAGCAUAUCAAUAAGCGGAGGA